GGACGGGUAUGCCUAGCGGCGAGGGCAGCGGACUGUAAAUCCGUCACAGAGAAACACCGCAGGUUCGAGUCCUGCCCCGUCCA
rnacentral:tRNA from 1 species